GACGAACGCUGGCGGCGUGCUUAACACAUGCAAGUCGAACGGAAAGGCCCUGCGUUUGUGGGGUGCUCGAGUGGCGAACGGGUGAGUAACACGUGAGUAACCUGCCCUUCACUUUGGGAUAACUUCACGAAACUGGGGCUAAUCUCGGAUAGGAGCCCCUGCUGCAUGGUGGGGGUUGGAUAGUUUCGGCGGUUGGGGCUGGACUCGCGGCUUAUCGACUUGUUGGUGGGGUAGUGGUUUACCCAGUCUUUGACCGGUAGGCGGCCUGGGAGGGUGACCGGGCACAUGAGGACUGAGAGAGGGCGCAGACGCGAAUAGUAGGCAGCAGGGGGGAAUAUUGCACAGUGGUCGCAAGCCUGUGGAGAAAACGCCGGGUGUGGGAUGACGGCCUGCUGGUUGUGAACCGCUUCCGCCUGUGACGAAGCGGGAGUGACGGUAAUGGGUGAAGAAGCACCGGCUAACUACGUG
rnacentral:rRNA from 1 species